AAGAUUAAGUCACAAAAGGCAUUGCGACCUCUUUUUGUUCUCUCUCUUGGACUACUUUCUACUUUGGGGAAAAUCAGUGCCAUGUUGUGAGUAUUCUGAAGUAACCCUAUGUAGAGACCCCCUGCCACACAGCUAGGAAUGUAGACCUCCUGCCAACAGCCAUUGAGGCAACCAUCUUGGAAGUGGCUUCUUCAGCCCCAAUCAAGCCUUCAGAUGACCUCAGUCCUGACUGAUCCUGUGUCUUCCCCCUCCUGAUAGACCAAGAUCCAAAGUUCCCUAGCUAAGCUCCUCCUGAAUUUCUUACAUACAGAAACUGUGAGAUAAUAUACUCUUGUAUUAAGCCAUGAAGUUUUUGGCUAAUAUGUUAUGUGGCAAACAAUAACUAAUGAAGAUAGAUUGAUUAUAAAACGUGGUCCUUUAGCUUUUGCGAGGCAUACGAGUUCUUUGGCUGUCAGACAUUAUUUUGAUUCCUUUCAUGCUUGCUUAUGGAUUGCAGAAUCAGUUUGCUUUGAACACUUUCAUUUUUCCCAAAGAAAUGAAUGGAGAGACAAUUAGUGCAGAAGCCAACGAGAUGAAGACACGCUCCUCUCUUAUUAGAACUGGAAAAGAUUUAAGAAAUCAAGACUGCAAUCAGAAGGUCACACAAGGAGCUGAACAAAAUAAAUUGUCCCACCAAUGACCUCAGCUCUUGGGAACCAAGGAGCUCUUUCAGACAGGGUUGGCAAUGAGGGUCUGGAUCUAUCCAAAGGUAGACAAUCAGCUGUGAAGUCAGAACGCCCCAUGCUUCGGUCCUCCGUCGAUCUUCCCUGCACCACUAGAAAGAAAAACCCAGCACGUCUGCCUCCCACCUACACAGCUUCAUCACAGACAACACGGAGGGACUGUCCUGCUCCCCAGACUGGCUGACUUCAAGUACAGACUGGGAAGCCCCGCAGGAGGAGAAGGCAAUCCAUAUUGCAUUUUCAAAAUGGAGAGAAAAGAUGACAUGAGACGGGAAAUUAUGCAAGAAAACAUGGAUGGUAGAGAAGACUGUUUUUCAAUCUGUGGUUGCAAUUAGAAUUUUUUUUAGAAUUGUUUUAAAUUAAUUAGAAUAAAAAUAUCAGAGUAUAUUACAUUAAGGCAUUCUUUGGUAAAAACAUUUGCUUUAGGGGUGUGUGUGUGUGUGUGUGUGUGUGUUCUGGGUCGGAAUUCAAAAUUCAC